CCUGUUUAUCAAAAACAUCUCUUUUAAAAAUAAUUGGAAGUAGGCUUUGCUCAGUGAAUAUAUUUUAAAUAGCCGCGGUAUCUUGACCGUGCUAAGGUAGCAUAGUAAUUUGUUUUAUAAUUGAGAACUGGUAUGAAGGAGUUGACGAAAUUUAAGCUGUCUUGAAAAAAAAAAUGGAAAUUGAUAUUUGCUUAAAAAAGUGCAGCUAAUUUAAAGGGACGAUAAGACCCUAUAAAACUUAACGAAAAAGAGAGUUUAAAACCUGGAAAAUUAAGAUUUUUUCUUGUUUCGUUGAGCUGGGGCGGCACUUAUUUGAAACCUAAAAGACAAAAAACAAAAAUCUUUGGUAAUUUUGGAUCUUUAAAAUUUUUUAAAAGAAACCUAGAAUAAGUUACUUUAGGGAUAACAGCACAAUUUUCUUAAAUAGAUCUUAUAGAAAAGAAAGACUUGUGACCUCGAUGUUGAAUUUUGAGGUGCUUUUUCUGAGCAGCAAUAGAACAAAGAAGUCUGUUCGACUUUUAAACCCUCACGUGAUCUGAGUUCAAACCG
rnacentral:rRNA from 1 species